CAAGUUUGUAACAAAAUAUAUUCUAGGCAACUUUUCAGACAUUGUUUUAUAGCAUCAUAAACCCUAUACCACUGCUGUCAUUCCAAAAGCUGCCAGGACACUGGAAGUCAUCAAGUGGUCCAGCCCAGGAAUACAGGUAGAAUUCACAUGAUAGGUGAUAAGAAAGCAAUGUCUGUGGGCCACUCUGAUCCCUCUUUUUACCUUGGUAGGUAAGGUAUGUACUGAGUCCUAUUAGUCAGUGAAAAAGAUUAAAGUGACAAGUUAUGUGCUUUGUUCCUAUAGCUUUGAAGUUCAUCCACCUCACCAGCAAUUGGAAGGUCUCAGGUCUUGCAGGCUCCACCCAUGUGUAAUCCUGGGGCAGGUGUGAAUCUUGAUUUUUUUAAAGAGAUUACUCAAGGGAGAGAACAACAGAAACCGAAGCCAUGAGUACUGCCCCAAUUCUAGAUUAGGUUAGAGGUUAGAAUAAAUUAACUAAUGGGGAGUGGUAGUGGGUAGCAGUCAGACCCAGGAGACAGAUUUGUGUGUGGUUUCCUGAUCUCAGCAAGGUCUAAGGAAAAAAGCCUCCCCGCCCCCCACCUUAAAUAGUGGCAUCAAGUCAUGAAGGCCAGUGAAACGUGGUUAGUCUCGUAAAAUGACUUCCAGUUCUUCCAGGUCCUUCUGGAUAGCCAAA
rnacentral:lncRNA from 1 species